rnacentral:rRNA from 1 species
GUCGAGCGAACAGACGAGGAGCUUGCUCCUCUGACGUUAGCGGCGGACGGGUGAGUAACACGUGGAUAACCUACCUAUAAGACUGGGAUAACUUCGGGAAACCGGAGCUAAUACCGGAUAAUAUAUUGAACCGCAUGGUUCAAUAGUGAAAGACGGUUUUGCUGUCACUUAUAGAUGGAUCCGCGCCGCAUUAGCUAGUUGGUAAGGUAACGGCUUACCAAGGCAACGAUGCGUAGCCGACCUGAGAGGGUGAUCGGCCACACUGGAACUGAGACACGGUCCAGACUCCUACGGGAGGCAGCAGUAGGGAAUCUUCCGCAAUGGGCGAAAGCUUGACGGAGCAACGCCGCGUGAGUGAUGAAGGUCUUCGGAUCGUAAAACUCUGUUAUUAGGGAAGAACAAAUGUGUAAGUAACUAUGCACGUCUUGACGGUACCUAAUCAGAAAGCCACGGCUAACUACGUGCCAGCAGCCGCGGUAAUACGUAGGUGGCAAGCGUUAUCCGGAAUUAUUGGGCGUAAAGCGCGCGUAGGCGGUUUUUUAAGUCUGAUGUGAAAGCCCACGGCUCAACCGUGGAGGGUCAUUGGAAACUGGAAAACUUGAGUGCAGAAGAGGAAAGUGGAAUUCCAUGUGUAGCGGUG